AACGCGAAGAACCUUACCUGGAUUUGACAUCCUUUGAAUACAGUAGAGAUAUUGUAGGCUCGCAAGAGACAAAGAGACAGGUGCUGCAUGGCUGUCGUCAGCUCGUGUUGUGAAAUGUUGGGUUAAGUCCCGCAACGAGCGCAACCCCUGUGCUUGGUUGCCAUCAUUAAGUUGGGCACUCCAAGCAGACUGCCGUCGUCAAGACGGAGGAAGGUGGGGAUGACGUCAAGUCCUCAUGGCCUUUAUAUCCAGGGCGACACACGUGAUACAAUGGUAGGUACAAAGGGCAGCGAAGUGGCAACACGAAGCCAAUCCCAAAAAGCCUAUCUCAGUUCGGAUUGGAGUCUGCAACUCGACUCCAUGAAGUUGGAAUCGCUAGUAAUCGCGGAUCAGCACGCCGCGGUGAAUACGUUCCCGGGCCUUGUACACACCGUGUCGA
rnacentral:rRNA from 1 species